AUUGAACGCUGGCGGCAGGCCUAACACAUGCAAGUCGAACGGUAACAGAAAGCAGCUUGCUGCUUUGCUGACGAGUGGCGGACGGGUGAGUAAUGUCUGGGAAACUGCCUGAUGGAGAGGGAUAACUACUGGAAACGGUAGCUAAUACCGCAUAACGUCGCAAGACCAAAGAGGGGGACCUUCGGGCCUCUUGCCAUCGGAGGUGCCCAGAUGGGAUUAGCUAGUAGGUGGGGUAACGGCUCACCUAGGCGACGAUCCCUAGCUGGUCUGAGAGGAUGACCAGCCACACUGGAACUGAGACACGGUCCAGACUCCUACGGGAGGCAGCAGUGGGGAAUAUUGCACAAUGGGCGCAAGCCUGAUGCAGCCAUGCCGCGUGUAUGAAGAAGGCCUUCGGGUUGUAAAGUACUUUCAGCGAGGAGGAGGUGUUGAGGUUAAUAACCGCAGCAAUUGACGUUACUCGCAGAAGAAGCACCGGCUAACUCCGUGCCAGCAGCCGCCGCCG
rnacentral:rRNA from 1 species